UACGUAGGGUGCGAGCGUUGUCCGGAAUUAUUGGGCGUAAAGGGCUCGUAGGCGGUUUGUCGCGUCGGGAGUGAAAACCUCGGGCUUAACUCGGGGCUUGCUUUCGAUACGGGCAGACUAGAGGUAUGCAGGGGAGAACGGAAUUCCUGGUGUAGCGGUGAAAUGCGCAGAUAUCAGGAGGAACACCGGUGGCGAAGGCGGGUCUCUGGGCAGUAACUGACGCUGAGGAGCGAAAGCGUGGGGAGCGAACAGG
rnacentral:rRNA from 1 species